AUGAAGCCUCUCCCGGCUUUCUCGAGGGGAAGGCUCGCCUUGGCGAAGGUCCCAAGGCACGGAGGGAAUGGGGAUCCGUGGCAGAGGGGGGCAGGAACCCAGGCAUCCCGGUGCCCACUUCAGGUCGUCUCCCCGCCUCCCGCCCCAGGUCAAGUGGGUCGGGGCAGGGCUUCUGGUGCCGCCCGCGGCGCGUCAGGCUACGGGCUGGAGAUGCGUGGGCCGCCGCCGCCAGGGGAGGAGAAGGGGCGCUGGUUACUCCUCCCCUCAGCCAGGCAGGGGGAGUCUCUGGCGGACGGAGGCCGGGGCUCUUGGGCGGGCUCUGCCCGCCUCGCUUGGAAAACAGUCACCCACCGACCCGCGGCUGCUGUCUGCUCCCUGGACGGACGAUCCAUGGUUCUCGCCGGCGGUUGUAGCCGCUUGGCCCUCAGCCUCCUGCUGCUGCUGGCCAGCGCUUCAGGUGAAUCUUGUAGGGCAUACACAGAUUCUGAUGGAUUCACAUAUUCUGAAAAAUCCUGCCCACAAUUCUGCUGUGGAAACUGUAUCAGUAGAUAUUGCUGCUUGGAUAGGUCAUAUAAAUUUGGAGAAGAUGAACAAUUUAUGUGUAAUGUGCUGGACGACAGGACAUAUCAGCCCAUCAAGGAAGAAACAUUGAAGUUGCGUUCACACUUCGAUGAUGACUGGGAACCUAGACCCAGGUAAAUGCUAAAAAUUGAAGCAUGUUUUCUGAAGAUUUCCAGUUCCUUCUGAAGAACAGAAUCUUAAACUUUUGGGAUUCCUGAAUCCAUUACCCCAAAUACCAAAGCUAAAUGCCUGUACCAGUAAUCUCUCUAGUCACAAUUAUUAUUCUACUUUGGUAUAAAUUGCGGGUGACAUGUUUUCUAUUACAACUUCAGUUCGUAAAGGAUAAUAUCUCCAUGACUGUCGUUCUUGGGUCUCAAGCCUCCAGUAUAAAAUUGGCAAAAACUCCCAUAGCUGAAGAGUUUUGGACGAUGAUACCUUUCACACCCAUACAUGACUAUGUGGAACACUCUGAUCCUGCUGUGUGAAAGGUAUAUCCCAACAGUGCCCUUACUUGUCAGUUCCACAGUCAACAGAAGUGGUGAUGCACACAAUGUUUCUGGCUAUGUAUACCCCAAAUUAAAAAACAUAGUAAGAGAAGCAAAAAAGAGCCACAAUGGCUAAACAACAAAGUAAAAGGAGCAGUGAGAGGCAAAAAGGCAUCUUUUAAACAAUGGAAGUUAAAUCCUGGUGAAGAAAAUAGAAAGACGCAUAAAUACUGGCAAAUGAAGUGUAAAAAUACAAUUAGGAAGGCCAAAAAAGAAUUUGAGGAACAGUUAGCCAAAGACUCAGAGUAGUAAUUUUUUUUAAGUACAUCAGAAGCAGGAAGCUGCUAAACAACCAGUGGGGCCACUGCCUGAUUGAGGUGCUAAAGAAGCACUCAAGGAUGAUAAGGCCAUUGCAGAGAAACUUUAUGAACUCUUUGCAUUGGUCUUCACAGCUGAGGAUGUGAGGGAGAGUUUCAAACUUGAGCCAUUCUUUUUAGGUGACAGAUGUGAAGAACUGUCCCACAUUGAGGUAUCAUUAGAGGUGGUUUUGGAACAAAUUGAUAAAUUAAACAGCAAUAAGUCACCAGGAGCAGAUGGUAUUCAUCCAAGAGUUCUGAAGGAACUCAAAUGUGAAAUUGCAGAACUACUAACUG
rnacentral:lncRNA from 1 species